GCGCAUGCGGCGUGGAGACACCCGGAAGAGGGAGGACGGGUGCGGGCCGCGGGCUGAGAAGAUCUUCCUUGAUCCAAUUAUGAAAAAAUGUUUAGAAAAGGAAAAAAACGGCACAGCAGCAGCAGCUCCCAGAGCAGCGAGAUCAGCACCAAGAGCAAGGUUUUGGAAUGAUCAGUUGAAUAUUCUGGAUUUUCCAAGGUGCCGUUUCACUUCCCUUGCACUGCUAUGUUAUUUCAAGCAUUGGUGGCAAGCAUGUAGUUGUCAAUUUCUUCAAGUUAAGAUGCAGUACCAGAAAAGUCUGGACAUAACCUUAAGUCUGUAGAUUCCAGUCUCGGGGGACUGUCCAGGUCUAGUACUGUGGCUAGUCUAGAUACAGACUCCACGAAAAGUUCAGGACAGAGCAACAGUAAUUCUGAUACGUGUGCAGAAUUCAGAGUUAAAUAUGUUGGUGCCAUUGAAAAACUGAAAUAUAAUGAGAGCAAAAGUCUCGAAGGGCCACUGGACUUGAUAAAUUACAUAGAUGUUGCACAGCAAGAUGGAAAGUUACCUUUUGUUCCAGGUGAAGAGGAGUUUAUUAUGGGAGUUUCCAAAUACGGCAUUAAAGUUUCAACAUCUGAUCAAUAUGUAAGUGAUUCGCAACAAACUGUCUUUUUGGAGAGAGUUGAAAAGUGCUUUGGUUUAUUUCUGUGAUAGGUGACCUGUGUGACCAAAAUGCCACUCCUGGCUUUAAGCAAACAAACAAGCUCUCACAGCAGCACUGCAUCAUGUCAGUUCUCAGGGCUCUCUCGAUUUUCCUGAUUGGACUGGUUAGAUUUAUGACAAGAAUCCAUUCCUUUUGAGAUAGAUAGAACACCAGACAAAAGGCAAGCAAGGCUUUACGCUCUACGGGCACAUCUUCCUUUCUCUGUAACUGUCCUGCCAUUCUCUCACAUGGAAAAGUAGCAUGACUGUGGUGUCCCAGACCAUGGGUUCCUCAGCCUGUCAGGAAUACAACUCCUGUUGCUGUUUGUGUGGAGAGGAAAAAACAAAGGCUGGGUUUUGGGUUUGUUUUUUUUUUUUCCAAAAACACCCGAGUUGUUUUCCUCUUUAAAGUUCCAGCCUUGCGCUCCUAAUCCAAGAGUGCGAGUUCACUCCAGCAUUAAAGCCUCAUGAUUCCACCUUAUUGAUCGAGCCUAUUUUUUGUUUGCAUCAUUUCCUACAUGUAGUUUAUUUUCCUUUAGCACACUUCAAGUAGCUUUUUUGCUAAAAAUAAAAAUCCGGUCUCUUCCCCAGGGCCCUCCAGUUGCCUCUGUGUAGCUUUGUAUUGCAGCCAUGUGGUUUCCUUCUGGUUGCCCUCAAGAGCUCUAGAUACCAUAAAUACUUGGCCUUAUGAAGUCAUGACCCAUCAACAACCCAGCAAUGCCUGUUCGUAAAGGCCUUGAGCAUGAGAAGGUGAAUAGCAUUGCUCAGUAGCUGAAUACUGCGAAGAGAAGCAAAAUGCUUCCUUUGGUCCCUUAAGAAAAUAAAACACUUGUUUCUAAUGCCUGGGAGGAAAAGUAGUAAUUGUUACUCAACUUUGAAUUCUUUUGGGUUCUGUUUUUGCUGCCCUCCUAAAUUCUUAAUUCUCGUCAAGAACAUAGGUUAUGCUAUUAUUUAAAUUCCUUUUUACUCUGAUAAAGAUCACAUAGGUAAUUUUGAAACUUUUAUCCAUCAUUUUUCUGCAAGCAUGCCCAAGCUGAUAAAGCCACCUGUGAUUAAGCUAGCUUGCACUGGCAUUUUAUUACAUUGCAUAGUUUCCCAAAUUCUGGCUUUUUGCAUCUGUGCCACUGUUGACAUUUGAUUUGUUCUUUAGAGUGUUAGUCCACUUAGAGUUCUAAGGUGGAAAGGUCUUCUCUGCCUUCAUACAAGGAGCUCAGUCUUUUAUGACUUUGGGGGAAAGGUGAGAGUUCUGUGAUGUGUAGAUGCCUUUGCAGGUGAAUAGGCAGCUAUUCCAGAUGCCAAAGAGAAUUAACUGCAGGAUACAACAUUUUUGCUCCUGGAUUUCAGCCAACGCUUGAGAAAUCAUUUCGUUAGUGAGUGAAAUAUGUAGAGAUAUGUAAUUCACUGAUACAUUCUCAUUGUUUGGGGAUGCAAACACUACUAGAAACCAAAGGCAAAGCAUUUAUAGAAGUCAUACUGAGGCUCUGGCCUUUUUCGCAUUCUGUUUGUGUGUAUUUGUAUAUUAUAUAUAUGUAUGCACAUGUAGGGCACAGUUUGUCCAUCCACCAUCUAAUUUCUCUAUCAAUCAGCUGCAGAUCCCCUCAUAGCGAAAUACUGGAAGGAGAGGAGAAAAUGGAUUUACAGGGGGAUUGUGUACCUUAAAGAAUUCUAUCUAUCAUCUUCCUCUUUUAGUGAGAAUCCACGUACACAUUAGCGCUGUAGUAAGUUCCAAGCAAGUAACUAAAAAGUUACACCUAAUUUGGAGGGAAAACUUGGCAUCUUUAAUAUGGAGACUGGAGGGUUGCUCCAGUAAGUUCCAUACUGGUUCCAGCUGUCCUCAGCAUGGUGUGAUAGCUGGUAUGAAUAAUAGUGAGUGAUUGCCAGGUGAACAUCAGGAACGGAGGUGUUUUUCAGCAAGGUGAUCAUAGAAGCACCGAUAGAGAGCUCUUUUCAAGGGUUUCAUGGCAGGCAUCAAGCUCACUGUCCAUUUUUACAGUGUCUGUAUCAAAGCGGAUGCUUCUUUAGACCCUUCAGCUACUGGUAGGGACAAGGUGUUUGAUGCCAUCAACAUAAGAAAGAGCUGGCUUGAAGUUUCAAGACCCUAGAGGUGGUAUGACUGGAAUAAACCAAAUGAGUAUUACCGGUUGGGUAGGAUGGCUUGAGAAAAAAGGCUUUGUGUGAGUCAGGUCUGCAGAGACCUUGCACAUAAACCCGUUGUUUUUUGGAAUGGUGAAGAUCAGAACUGUUGGGGCUGUGAUGAAAGUCUGCAGCUGUGUCAGUCAGAGAGGUCUCCCAGACUAGAUCUCUGCAAGAGCCAGGACCCAUGCUGUGGCUCACGCCACAGCAACUAACCUUGUCUCUGGUACCCUUGCCAGAACUAGGACGGGCUUGUCUGGAAGAGUAAAAGGUUGUUUUACAUUCCCUCUGUGCCAGACAUACAGAGCACCCUGCUUGUCCUGCUCACAGAGGGCGAGUGAGGAUAGGUGGGGAAUGAAUGUGUCCACAUAUGAAAGCAAUUCUAAAAUAGAAGCAAAAAUUAAAGCUAAAAUUGUGUUAAACCCCCACUUAUUUUUUUAAAAGCUCAAUGAAACUCUCAAUUAAAAAGGUUGUAAGCUUACCAAGGAAUGUUUCUCUCCUGUGAGUAAAUCCAAAGUAUUCUUUUGUAAGAGAGAGAAUCAAAACAGGUGGAAAACUCAAAUAGCCUUUGCACUGAUCCAGAGUAACUUUUAUUUGCCACGUGGUUUCAGGAUGUGUUACAUAGGCAUGCUCUCUAUUUAAUUGUACGGAUGGUCUGCUAUGAUGAUGGUCUGGGAGCAGGAAAAAGUUUACUGGCUUUGAAGACAACAGAUGCAGCCUCUGAAGAAUGCAGCCUCUGGGUAUAUCAGUGCAAUAGUUUGGUAAGACUUUAUGUUUACAGUAUUUAAUUUAGGUAUCAGUAUUCUGAUUGAAAAGGGAGCUUCUGAAACCCAAGGCCCUUGGUGAAAGCUUUUUAGCAGAAGUGGGAUUGUUCAAUUGAAAAAAAUUUCUCAGUAUGUCCUGGCCGAGUUGGGGAGACUUUGCUCACUGCAUUUGAUCGGCUUAGAGGGAAAAUACCUACAGUCCCUAAAAUUGUCAAUGAAUGCACACGCCUGAGAAAGCUCUCUGCAAUCCUCAGAAAGCUAUUGUAGCUGCUAAGGACAAUUCUCCGUUUGUAUUUUCAAAGACAAAAACCUCUUAAGAUGGGACUGAGCAGGGAGCAAUCGAGUAACAAGUCUGGAAACAGAGCAUGCAUUCAUAUUUACAAGCAAGGGAAGUGAUCCCUUUUUAAGAGUAGGAGAAUGCCUUGUCAAGAUGCUAUGGGAUGACACACACCCUCACAGCACUGGGGGAACACACAGACUGACUUUCUGAGUGCUAGUAUCGUGCUAUGAUGAAAGCCAAGUACUCUGACUUGUUUCAAAAGAGCUCAUUUAAAACAGCUUCCCACAUGUCAUUGCAGACCACAGAAAUCAAAUUAAAUCUCACUUGUGCUACUCCAUUUUGCAUGUCUCUGCCAAGAGAAUGAUAAAGGCCACAUUCUGUUGUAAAUGAGUUUUGCGAUAUUGAGAAGUUCUUCAGAAAGUGCUAAUGGGUAUGUUUGGGUGGGGUCUUUUGGGUUUGGUUUUUUUUUAGGAACAAGCGCAAGCUAUUUGCAAAGUGUUAUCUACAGCCUUUGAUUCAGUUCUAAUGUCGGAGAAGUCCUGAUGUACCUUCAGUACAUGACGGUGUAGCACAAGAGGCCUUUGUGUGGGGAGGAAAUGGGGCUCCUUCGUGACACCACAGACUGGCUGCAGCUACACACAGUCCCAGAAAAGACUCGCUGUGCAAACAAGAGCCAUGCAACCUUGCACACGGUACUCUCAUUCCCCAGACAUGACUUGAAGAAAUCAUUCCAUCUUCAGUUGCCAGAACAAGACAGGAUUUUGUAUUUAACAUGAUUCCCCCCCCAAUAAUGUUUUGUAUAUUAAUGUCAAUAUUGUAGAAAUGUAAAAUAAAACUGACACUUCUA